GGCCGUCCUACAGCUCUGCCCUUGGGGCCCACAGUGAGCGGACACGCAGGAUCCCAGGACCAGAGACCACAGCAGCCGAGCCCACUGACCUCCUGUGCGUGGCGAAGUUGUCCAGGUCGGCACUGCGCACCACCCGGUCGUAGGGCACGUUGGCCGUGAUGAGGCUGUGGCUGGUGAAGGCGAGGUGGCGGACGGGGUGCCUGGAACACAAGGGGAGAGCACUCUGCUGAAGCACUGAGCCAGGACACCCACUGCAAGCGGAGACCUGCCAUCAGAGAUGCCCGCCAGGUCAAGAUGAGUCAGCACCACAGUGCUGGGAAGACCCGCUUCACCAGCACGGCUCACCCGAGGGCAUCAGCUUCUCGGGGAGAGACUGAGACCUGGAGUGCACGCCUAGUGAGCCGCACGCAGGGGAGGCACCGCUGGAGCCAAGCCAGGGAGACGCCUGCCCUGGGUGCCCGUCCACAGAGGAAGGUGAACUCUGACUGCGCCUCCACAUGGGCAUCGGCUGCCCUAAGGAAAAUGACUCAGAGUGAGCAACCUGUAGCUAUUCUGAAAGAAAGUGCUGCAGCAAAAUCCCGGAGGACUGUGAGGAGACAACACACAGACCACGCAGUGACGCACAGAACAAACACUGAGCAUAGCAUAAGAGGACAGCCGGCUUAAGACCGAACGUGUCUGCCAGUCAGUAAAUACACCCAGAGCAAACCCACCUAGAAGAGUUCAAACGGGUCACAAAGCAAAAUUCAAUAUAUGCUACACACACAUGCCAUGUUUGCAGGUGCAAGGAAGAGGUAGCAAUUUUAACACCAGAAAAGGGAUUUCAGAGCACAAAGAUGAGAUGAGAGUACUUGAGAAUGACGAAGGGUACAAUUCACUAAAUGUUCAGUAAAACCUGCCUGGAAAAAAACGCAGAAAACCUACAUGGACCUAAUUUUUUAAUUUGGUUUCUUUGGUCAUUAUAAUCUGUUCAGGUUUUCUAUUUUAUUGUUUAAAUCUCCAAAUUUGAAGAUACAGAUGAAUACAUGACUUUCCAAGAAAGACCCCUGGGGGCAGACAAUCCCAGCAGAAGUAACAAAGAGUACACUGGGGCAGCUGUCCCCGCACAAAGAACCAGAGCACCUGGCCUGCCUGGGAGGAGCCCCCUGGGCUGCGGCACUGCCCGCAGGAGCAGAGGAAGCUUCCAAACCUCCAUAGAGCCAGCACGCUCUUCCAAGAAACUGACGAGGAGAGCACGUGGGAAGGCAGCAAUCGAUCGGCACCAAGGCUAAGACCUGAAUGAAAUAUUAACUAACAGAAUCCACAGCAAUACACUGCCAACAAGCGGAAUCCACCCAGCUCCUGUGAGCACAAUUCACCUACUAUUGUAACAAACAAGAAAAAACACAUGGUCACUCCCAUGGAUGCUGAAACGAAAUCUGAUGAAAUAUAAUAUUUAUUCCUAAUAAAAAGUCUUUAAAAAAUAGUGACCUAUACUUUUACCACUGAUAUGUCACAUUGUUUUAAAAAAAUGGAU